rnacentral:rRNA from 1 species
AAUAUUAGACAAUGGGGGCAACCCUGAUCCAGCCAUGCCGCGUGUGUGAAGAAGGUCUUCGGAUUNUCAAGCACUUUAAGUUGGGANGAAGGGCUUUAGGCUAAUACCAGGAAGUUUUGACGUUACCAACAGAAUAAGCACCGGCUAACUCUGUCCCAGCAGCCGCGGUAAUGCAGAGGGUGCAAGCGUUAAUCGGAAUUACUGGGCGUAAAGCGCGCGUAGGUGGUUCAGUAAGAUAGGUGUGGAAUCCCCGGGCUUAACCUGGGAACUGCUUUCAUAACUGCUGAGCUAGAGUACGGUAGAGGGUAGUGGAAUUUCCUGUGUGGCGGUGAAAUGCGUAGAUAUAGGAAGGAACACCAGUGGCGAAGGCGACUACCUGGACUGAUACUGACACUGAGGUGCGAAAGCGUGGGGAGCAAACA